rnacentral:sRNA from 1 species
GAGGCGGAGCUUGCAGUGAGCUGAGAUCUGGCCGCUGCACUCCAGCCUGGGCGACAGAGCGAGACUCCGUCUCAAAAAAAAAAAAAAAAAACCAUCCCCAGUAGAAGAGGGCCAAUGUUUGGUCAAGGAUAUAUAAGUAGUUACAUUCACCUGCUAGAACCUCCAAACAAGCUCUCAAGGUCCGUUUGUAGGAAAAUGUUGGAUAGUCAAACUUCCAAGACUCCAGACACAUCCAAAUAAGGUGGCAGUCUGUUUUUUUUUUUUUU